rnacentral:rRNA from 1 species
AACCAAUGGCCUCCUGAACGUGGGUUGCACUCUUGGGAUUUCCUGAGAGCAUGUCUGCUUCAGCGCUUAA